UACGUAGGGUGCAAGCGUUGUCCGGAAUUAUUGGGCGUAAAGAGCUCGUAGGCGGUCUGUCGCGUCUGGUGUGAAAAUCCAGGGCUUAACCCUGGACCUGCAUCGGGUACGGGCAGACUAGAGUGCGGUAGGGGAGAUCGGAAUUCCUGGUGUAGCGGUGAAAUGCGCAGAUAUCAGGAGGAACACCGAUGGCGAAGGCAGAUCUCUGGGCCGUAACUGACGCUGAGGAGCGAAAGCAUGGGGAGCGAACAGG
rnacentral:rRNA from 1 species